rnacentral:rRNA from 1 species
UACGUAGGGUGCAAGCGUUAAUCGGAAUUACUGGGCGUAAAGCGUGCGCAGGCGGUGAUGUAAGACAGAUGUGAAAUCCCCGGGCUCAACCUGGGAACUGCAUUUGUGACUGCAUGGCUAGAGUUUGGCAGAGGGGGGUAGAAUUCCACGUGUAGCAGUGAAAUGCGUAGAUAUGUGGAGGAACACCGAUGGCGAAGGCAGCCCCCUGGGUCAAGACUGACGCUCAUGCACGAAAGGCG